rnacentral:rRNA from 1 species
AAACUCAAAGGAAUUGACGGGGGCCCGCACAAGCGGUGGAGCAUGUGGUUUAAUUCGAUGCAACGCGAAGAACCUUACCUACUCUUGACAUCCAGAGAAGUUUGCAGAGAUGCGAACGUGCCUUCGGGAACUCUGAGACAGGUGCUGCGUGGCUGUCGUCAGCUCGUGUUGUGAAAUGUUGGGUUAAGUCCCGCAACGAGCGCAACCCUUAUCCUUUGUUGCCAGCGAUUCGGUCGGGAACUCAAAGGAGACUGCCAGUGAUAAACUGGAGGAAGGUGGGGAUGACGUCAAGUCAUCAUGGCCCUUACGAGUAGGGCUACACACGUGCUACAAUGGCAUAUACAAAGAGAAGCGACCUCGCGAGAGCAAGCGGACCUCAUAAAGUAUGUCGUAGUCCGGAUUGGAGUCUGCAACUCGACUCCAUGAAGUCGGAAUCGCUAGUAAUCGUGGAUCAGAAUGCCACGGUGAAUACGUUCCCGGGCCUUGUACACACCGCCCGUCACACCAUGGGAGUGGGUUGCAAAAGAAGUAGGUAGCUUAACCUUCGGGAGGGCGCUUACCACUUUGUGAUUCAUGACUGGGGUGAAGUCGUAACAAGGUAMCCGUAGGGG